rnacentral:rRNA from 1 species
GAUGAACGCUGGCGGCGUGCUUAACACAUGCAAGUCGAACGGGAAACCUUUUAAUGAAGCUUCUGCAGAUUUAGCUGGUUUCUAGUGGCGGACGGGUGAGUAACGCGUGGGUAACCUGCCUUAUACAGGGGGAUAACAGUCAGAAAUGACUGCUAAUACCGCAUAAGCGCACAGGACCGCAUGGUUCGGUGUGAAAAACUCCGGUGGUAUAAGAUGGACCCGCGUUGGAUUAGCUUGGUGGUGGGGUAACGGCUCACCAAGGCGACGAACCAGAGCCGGCAGGAGAGGGGGAACCGCCGCAUUGGGACUGAGACACGGCCCAGACUCCUACGGGAGGCAGCAGUGGGGAAUAUUGCAGGAUGGGGGAAACCCUGGUGCAGCGACGCGGCGGGAAGGAAGAAGUAGCUCGGUAUGUAAUCUUCUAUCAGCAGGGGAGUUAGUGACGGUACCUGACAAAGAAGCCCCGGCUAACUACGUG